AUGGAGGUGCAGGCCCAAGUACUUCGAAUCAUCAAAAAGAAAUCCAAGAAAGAACAGCGAAGGAAAAACGUGACAAGAAAAGUGUUUUCUCGACUCGAGAUGUUAGAAGGUGCUAAAUCAAUAGGUGCCGGAGCUGCUACAAUUGCUUUAGCCGGAGCUGUUGUCGGUAUUGGAAACGUCCUCAGUUCUUUGAUUCAUUCCGUGGCGCGAAAUCCAUCAUUGGCUAAACAAUCAUUUGGUUAUGCCAUUUUGGGCUUUGCUCUCACCGAAGCUAUUGCAUUGUUUGCCCCAAUGAUGGCCUUUCUGAUCUCAUUCGUUUUCCGAUUGCAUAAAAAGUCAUGA
rnacentral:rRNA from 1 species